UACGUAGGGCGCAAGCGUUGUCCGGAAUUAUUGGGCGUAAAGCGUCCGCAGACGGUUUGGUAUGUCAUAGGUCAAAUCUUGAAGCUCAACUUCAAGGCUGCUUGUGAAACUGCCAUACUAGAGACUGGAAGAGGUAAGCGGAAUUAUCGGUGUAGCGGUAAAAUGCGUUAAUAUCGAUAAGAACACCAAAUGCGAAGGCAGCUUACUGGUACAGUUCUGACGUUAAGGGACGAAAGCGUGGGGAGCGAAUGGG
rnacentral:rRNA from 1 species